rnacentral:rRNA from 1 species
AUUGAACGCUGGCGGCAGGCCUAACACAUGCAAGUCGAGCGGUAGCACAGAGAGCUUGCUCUCGGGUGACGAGCGGCGGACGGGUGAGUAAUGUCUGGGAAACUGCCCGAUGGAGGGGGAUAACUACUGGAAACGGUAGCUAAUACCGCAUAACGUCGCAAGACCAAAGAGGGGGACCUUCGGGCCUCUUGCCAUCGGAUGUGCCCAGAUGGGAUUAGCUAGUAGGUGGGGUAACGGCUCACCUAGGCGACGAUCCCUAGCUGGUCUGAGAGGAUGACCAGCCACACUGGAACUGAGACACGGUCCAGACUCCUACGGCAGGCAGCAGUGGGGAAUAUUGCACAAUGGGCGCAAGCCUGAUGCAGCCAUGCCGCGUGUAUGAAGAAGGCCUUCGGGUUGUAAAGUACUUUCAGCGGGGAGGAAGGCGAUAAGGUUAAUAACCUUGUCGAUUGACGUUACCCGCAGAAGAAGCACCGGCUAACUCCGUGCCAGCAGCCGCCGUAACAC